rnacentral:rRNA from 1 species
UACGAAGGGGGCAAGCGUUGUUCGGAAUUAUUGGGCGUAAAGGGAGCGUAGGCGGUUCGGCAAGUCUUUAGUGAAAUCUCUGGGCUCAACUCAGAGUCUGCUGGAGAAACUGCCGGGCUGGAGUAUGGGAGAGGUGAGUGGAAUUCCCGGUGUAGCGGUGAAAUGCGUAGAUAUCAGGAGGAACACCGGUGGUGUAGACGGCUUACUGGACCAUGACUGACGCUGAGGCACGAAAGCGUGGGGAGCAAACAGG